UUCGUUGUUCGAGCUUUGGUUGGAGUUUGUCGAAACAGUUCAUACACAGUUCGAGUUCGUCGUUGGUCAGUCGUUGUUCGUGGAUCCAAUCCGGUUAGUGGGUUUGAGUUUCACUUUUGUCCGUAUUUUGUUUUUGAUAUUCUUGAAUCUAAAAUCGGUAAAUGUUUGAUUUUUAUUUUGUUCGUGUUCAUUGUUUUGUUAAUUUUUCAGUUUGUUCAUGUGAAAUUGUUAGUUUAAUGUCGUUAGUUUUCAAAUUGAAGUUUAAUUAAUUAUUUCUUCAGUUUGUUUCAUGUGUUGUUAUGUAUUUUUUUUCAGAAAUUGUUAAUGUUGGUUAAAUCAUUUGAAUCCAUCAUGUUUGUUGUUUAAAAUAGAUUUAAUUCAUGUUCAUCUUUGUUUGAAGUUCGUUUGUAACCCCAGUGAUUUAAUAUGAGUUUGGGUUUUGGUUUUGGACUUGUUGAUUUAGUUUGAAUCAUGUAUUUUGUUGUUGAUAUUGUUGUCUCUUUGCUCAUUCAUUUUUGGUCUAAGUUAACCAGGAUUGGUUCCCAAUAUGGUUAACUUAUUCCCAUUAAUUUGAAGCUGUAUGAUUCAAUCUGUGUUCAUGAGAUUUGUUGUUGAAAUUGUUUAGAAAUUGGUCAUAUUUGUUGUAUUUUGGUUGAAAUUGAUUAGGUGAAUUGGUUAUAGCUGAUGUGGUAGUUUGGUAAAUUGCAGUACGUUCAGGGGUAAAUUGAUAAUUUCAGUAAGGUCGGAGGGGUAUUUUCGGAAUUGAACAUUUGAUAUAAUUGUUUAAUAUAAUGGGGGACAAGACAUAAAUUAGUGGGGGAAUAAUAUAAUUCUUUAUGUUAAGCAUGGGGAACAAGAUGUAAUGGGGUGGGGUUGAUAUAAUUGUUUAAUAUAAUGGGGGACAAGACAUAAUGUAGUGGGGUGGAAAUAAUAUAAUUAUUUAUGUUGAGCAUGGGGACAAGGGUUUAAAAUAAGGAAAAUAUUAAGUAGAGGGGACAAAAGCAUGCAAUUGGGGGAAUAUUUCGGGUUGGGGAUUCAAGACAAGAGUCUUGUUAUAUAUAGAGUCAUUUGACACAUUUUAAAGAGAGCUUUUAAGACUUGAGAGAAAAGACUUGAACUUGAAAGACUUACUUAGAGAGAGGAAUACAUUCUGAAAAUCUGAAGAGAGUGUGAUAGAGUUUAAAAAGAGAGAACAAAAACAAAGUGAGAAACGAGUUUAGUUUCUGGUUUUAAUAAACGCGUGGGUUGUUGCUAUUUAGUGGGUUGACAUACUUUUGGGUUUGUUCUAUUGAGUUGUUCGGAUUUCUUCAAAGUUUUCUAGGCCUUGAAUCUGGUUCGAAUUUGUUGUUGUUGGGUUGCUACUGUUGCUGUGUAUUUGCACUACUACUGCUUCUACUGAUCUUCAUCUUCCUUCCUUGCUUUUCAAAUACCAGGUACACAAACUGAUAUACUGGUUCAUCUUGUAAGCCACUCGAAGCAUGAAUGCAAAAAUGAGAAAGAUUUGAAGUUGUAGUUUAAUGUAGUCCUUUCUUUCUUUUACUGUUUGUAUGUAUAUGUUCCAUGUGUUACCAUGUAAACUCUUUAAACAACUCACUUUCGAAACUUAACUAUAAUAACUCGAAAGUAUGUAAAUAAAGUAGGACCUUAUCUUCAUUUAUUUUAGAAAACGAAAAAAUAGAAAAUAUAGUCAUGCUAAGAUUAUCCUUUUAAAAAUAAUGAGACGAG
rnacentral:lncRNA from 1 species